GGGGGGGGGGGGGGGAUUCCGUUUUCCACCUCUGAAUUUUGUGUUUCCUGAAACCAAAUCCAUUGAUUUAAUUAUCCAUCCUCUGAAUUUUGGGAAUUUGCCGAUUAGGGUUUCUGGUGCCUGAUAUGUGAAAAGGAGUUUCUCUGUGCGAGGAUGCCAGCUACAGAUUAUCAGGGUUCGUCGGCUGCUUUUACCAACAUCGGCCGUCCAGUUCAGAGUAUUCGACGAGAUCAGCUUUACGCUAUGGAUGGUUCUCCCACGUCUCACGAGCAGGAUCUUGAUUCCUUUCAGAGGCAAGUUACUGACCGUUUCAUGGACCUUGCAUCGGUUGGUCCUGAGGAGUUGCUUUCCCUAUCAUGGGUUCAUAAGCUUUUGAAUUCCUUCUUGUGCUGUCAGGAAGAGUUUAAACUCGUUCUCCUUAGCCACAAAUCUCAAAUCUCUAGACCCCCUUUGGACCGUUUGGUUGCUGAUUAUUCGGAGAGAAGCGUUAAGGCGCUUGAUGUGUGUAAUGCGAUUCGUGAUGGGAUUGAGCAACUCCGGCAAUGGCAGAAGCUUUUGGAGAUUGUUCUUAGUGCGUUGGAUAAUUGUAAUCAUCAGAAGACUCUUGGAGAGGGUCAAUUUCGUCGCGCCAAGAAGGCUCUUAUUGAUUUGGCUAUUUGUAUGUUGGAUGAGAAAGAUUCGCAUACCUCU
rnacentral:misc_RNA from 1 species